UACUUGACAAUUCACCAACAAAGAAAAAGAAAAAAAAAAAACAGAGAGAGAGACAAAAAGCUAGAAUAAUGGAAGGACGUUCGAAAUCUAGCAUAAAAUUAGAGCUACUACGUAACUUCAUGCAUGAUGAUCACACCCAUCAGUUUAGGUUGAUCGAUCACCUCUUAUUUUGCAACAUUAUUUUUAAGAUAGUUAACGAAUGCACUAAUGUAGUGAUCAUGUUGCAGCUUGUGAUCUCCAAUAACUGCAGCAGCUUUCCUUGCAUUGCUUCGUAGCUGCUCUCCUUCUUCUUCCACCAUUGCUAGCCUCAGUGAUUUUGCUAUUUCCCCUCUACUAAACGACCCGUCUUCGUUUCGCUUCACUUCGGCAGCCAGACCCUUCUCUACCAGAAGCCUUGCAUUCAAAGGCUGAUCAUACAUGAAGGGUAACACAACAAGGCCAUGCCCAAAUUGCAGAGUCUCAAUCACCGAACCCCAUCCAGAAUGAAACAAAGAGCCCCCAAUUGAUGGGUGCCCCAAAAUUUCCAUUUGGGGCACCCAUCCGAAGCAAACAAGCCCUUUCUCUGAUGUUCUGUCAGUAAAACCUAAAGGCAAAAAAUCAUCCACUUCAUCACUCUCAGUUGAAUUAG
rnacentral:lncRNA from 1 species